UGGGUGGGGUGAUAUGUGGAUGGAUGUAUGGAUGGAGGGGAGAUUAGAUGAGUGGAAGGACUGGUGGAUGGAAGGAUGGGUGGGUGGAUGGACGGAUGGAUGAACGGCUGAAGGAGACAACAGAUGAGUGGAAGUAUGGAUGGGUGGAUGGAUGAAUACCACAUUAGGGUCUAGGUAGCAGGUGGAUGGAGGAAUGGCAGAUGGAAGGAGGGAUGAUGGCUGGGGAAGUCUGAGAAGGCUUCCAGGAGGAAGUAAGCUGCAGAUGAACAGAGAGAAGGGUAUUGUGUGUUCCUCAAGGGCAGGCAGUGUGCAUCUCCAAGCUUUGAAUCCCCAUCUUCCGGCCUGAACCUCCAGGCAGAACAGGUGCUCAGAGAUCCCCUCUUCCUGGAUCUCAGGUCUGUGCCGAUCAAGGUCCUAGUGUGUCCCAUCUCUCACCAGGCCCUUCCAGUGGGUGGGAUGAGGACUGCAGUCCCUCUCCAUCCUUGGCAGAGGUGGAAAUGCAGGAGACUUGGAGUCAGGUGGCCCUGGACCCGAGUUCCAGCUCUACCUCCUACUUGCUGUGUGACUUUAGGCCCGUCCCUUCCCCUCUCUGAGACUCAGCUUCCUCUGCUCGUACACUAGGCACCCUCAUCCUGACCUCACUGGUAUUGUGGGUAGCAAGAGAGAUGAUGGAGAUAGAAGCUCUCGGCACACAGUAGGGGCUGAGACUUAGGGCAGAGUAGAAGCGGACGGCAAUGAGGACUCAGAACCCCUGCCAGGCCUGAGCUGUCCCCUCCUGAAUCCUAAUAGUCCCCUGUCUCCUGUCCUCUGACCCCUGAAACUAGAAGCAGCCAACGGGACAUUUCAUAAUUUAAAGAGAACAAGCAAGAGACUCUCGAACCACAGCCACCUCUUAAUGGAAUUACCAAAAAGGGCUUCUUAAUUAAAAACAAGAAGCUGGGGACAGGUUCAUAUCCAUGAUUCAGGGCCCGGUGCUGCGGCCGCCCAUGGUUUCAUUUCCCUUUAUUUGUGUCUCACUCUCGGCAUGAUCUAUAUUGUUAAAAUCCUGCGUGAAAAAUGGGCCUGGCUUUUCAGGUGGAGCUGUAAAUAUUUACCCUGCCUAAUACGGGUCCCCCUGUCGUGGGAAGCUUGGGGGCUUUUCAAUGCAGCUUAAGACAUCCCGGCAAUGUCUCAUUAAAAUUAAGUCUUGCCUUUUCCGUCUGCUCUGAUUAACACUCAGGGCAUGGGAGAGGCAGCUGCGGCAGGGGUGGGGACAUAGAAGUUGAGUGGGGAGCGGGUUAGGGGAUCCUAGCUGUACGGAGCUGAUGCCCUCCCUUUUGGGGUCACAGGCACCCCAGCCCGGAAAAGCAGACAAGGCAGGGGACAUGGCCGGGAGCUGAUUCUGCCUCUGGGAAGGGGCUGCUCAGGGCCGACCUGUGGGCUGCUCCAACUCUACCCUCCCAGCCCCUUCCUCACAGAGCCAGGGGUCCUUCCUCGUCCCUCCCAGCCCCUUGUCCCUCCCUUUCUUUUUCUGAAUACACCAUGCUCUCUUGAGCCUCUAGGCCUUCACAUCUCCCUUUCACCCUGCCUGGCUACUUUUCCACCCCUGAGCUCCUUCCCAUCUCUGCCUACACGCCCGUUCCUUGGGAGAUGGUCCGGGUCCCAGGCUGGGUUAGGAGCCCUCCUCUCUGUGCUUGCCGGGAUUGUAGCAAUGUCAAGUCACACUGGGCUGUCAUUUCUGCCUACUUGUCAGCCCCACUCCAUCUGUCUGUCGACUUCCUGGAGGUAGGGAGUGUUUCUUGCUCCCCACCAAGUCCCCAGCUCCAGGACUGAGCCUGGAAUGGGGAAUAAAGGUUGAACAGCCGCGCGGGUUCAGGGACGGGCCCAGAGCGACUCGUAUGGCGAUUCCCUGUGUCACCCCCUGGGCUGUGCCACGAGGCCCUGCCCAGGUUUGGUGGGGAGUCUGAAGGCCUGGGGGUACCCCAGCUGGGCUCUCCCCUCAGCUCAGGUGCAGGGCCUGAAUCGCAGAGACACUGGGCAGGGGUCUACUCACCAGGGUUUUGGGAACAGCUUCAGUGAGUUAUAAUUCACACAUUCGAAGUGUAUCAUUCAAUGGUUUGCAGUAUCUGCACAGAGUACAGAUAUUGCAACCAGCACCACAGUUCUACAACGUUUCACCAUUUCCCCCAGAAGGGAACUCCCUGCUCAUUAGCGCGUGCGCACGCGCGCACACACACACACAGCCCUGGCAACCACUAGUCGUUCUGUCGCGUGGACUUGCCUAUUCUGGGCAUGGGCAUUUCAUAUAAAUGGAAUCAUACAACACGUGGUCUUUUGCGACUGGCUGCUUUCACUUGGCAUCCUGUUUUCAGGGUUCAUCCACACUGUAGCAUGUAUCAGCGUUUCAUUCCUUUUUGAGGCUGAAUACUAUUCCAUUGUCUCAAUGGGCCACAUUUUGUUUAUCCCUUCCUCAGCUGCUGGACAUCUGAGUCGUUUCUGCCUUUUGUCUUUUAUGAAUAAUGCAGCUUUGCCCAUUUGUGCACAAGUUCUUGGUGUGGACACAUGUUUUCAUUUCUCGGGGGUGGAAACUCAGGAGAGGGAGUUCCCUGGUGGUCCAGCGGUUAGGAGUCGGCACUUUCCCUGCCGUGGCCCCGGGUUCAAUCCCUGGUCGGGGAACUGAGAUUCUGCAAGCUGCGUGGUGUGGCCAAAAGAAAAAAGAACCUGAGGAGGAGAAUAUGCUUGGGUUUCGUGAUGGCAUUUUGGCAGCUCUGAAGCUUUUUGGCAGCCUUCUAGGUGGCAAGAGAGGGACUGUGCUGAGACGUGGUGGGAGGGGUGGGAGCUCCAGCAAGAGGGGAGCACAGCAGUCCCCGUCUACCUGCCGGGAACUCAAGAGUCGCUCUGUCUCUGAGCCUUGGGCUCACCAUCUGCCCAACGGGGACAACCAAGGCGCCUCCCAGAGUUGGUGGGGGCCACGGGAAAUGACAAGGCUGUAGGAAGAAGGCUCACAGGAAACAUUCUCCUUUGCUGGGUGUGGGAAGGGCCCUGGAGAUGCCGUGCCGACUGUCCAGUACUGCCACCCCUGCCAGCAGGGGAUGGGGUGGAAGAGCCAGGCUUGAUGGCAUUGACUAUAUCGCCCUGAGAGGGAGGUGUCAUUACGGCCCCCAUUUUGCAGAUGAGAACACAGAGGCCUCAGGAAGCGAAGUCACUUGCCGGGUCACAGUUGCAGUCCCCACAUCUGCCGGAUGAAGUCUUUCCCUCAACCCGCUCCCAGCCUGGUCCUGCCUCCUCCUGACUGCCGUGAGAAGCAACAAGAAGCCAGGUUCCUUUUGUGGGUGCGAGUCCCCAAAGGGCUGGGACGAUCUUUCUUGUCCCCUGAUGUGGUCCCAGUGCCCAGAACAGUCCUUGGCACAAAGCGGGCACUAGGCAAUUUUGCCAGGAUGCAUGAUUUGGAGACUCUGUUUCCCCAUCUGUGAAAUGGGCAUAACAUCCAGCCCCUGCGUUUGUGAAAGCACAGGGCACAGAGCCUGAGCUUUUCAGAUGGCAUUCCCGCCUCUCCCUCCUCCCUCACCUGGGGGCGGGUCCCCUGGGAGGAGAAUGGGACGACAGUCGGAGUCCAUGGCUGGUCCUGCCCUAGAGCUUGUGGGGGCACCUGGCGGCUCUCCUGCUGCCCUCUCCCUCUUCCCAGGCUGGUCCCCAUCAGUCAGCUCCCGCACACUUCUCUGGGGUCCCGACCUCAAGUUCUGCCCAUCCUGGGGUGCCGAAUGGGUAUGUCUUCUGCGCAGAGAUGCCCUCGCUCCUUUUCCAGCUAACGGAGCCAAUUAGUGAUGUUGGAGGCCUCUCCCCUGUGAUUCCACUACAGCAGCCAGAUUUUUAAAGUCCAGAUUAUCAGAUGCCCAGCCCUGCCCCUUGCCCACCCAGAAGUGGUAGCAGAGGGAGGGGUGUCCCCAAGGUGGAGGUGGUCAGAGGCCUGGCUUCGAGGGGGCCCUAGCUUCCCUCCCCCCAUUUGCAGGCACCGUUCUGCCAGGGAAUCGGCCCCUGGCCCCUGUGGGCUGUGGGCUGUGGGCUGUGGGCUGGUGGGAAGGGGAGUGGGACCAAGGCCUCCCCGCUUCCCAACGGCCGGCCUUUCCCUGAACCAGCUCACAAAGGUGGCACCAUUGAUUGCAGAGCUGAAAUUCCCCUGGGGUUGCAAGACCCAGAGCCCGUGCUUUGUCAACCUCAGCGACAGGUCGGUGCUGCUAUUGCGUUAUUAUUAUUGUCAACAUUCUCCACAGAUACACUUGGCAAAUUGCUGCCCUGGUGGAAAAAAUUGUGGGGUGGGAUUGAGGGGCCUGGGUCCUGGCCCCUAUCUGCUAUGGCCCAAGUGAUCUUGGGAAAUCCCACCCCUCUGAGCCAGGAGCCACCCUCCGUACAGUGGCAGUGUCUUGCGGUGGCCGAAGCCCAGGCUGGACGCCAGGUUGCCUGCUCUGCUCUGCAUAAGCAGGUGAGCUGGGAGAGGUGACUUAAACACUCAAGACCUCCGUUUCCUCACCUGUAAAAUGGGAGCAUAAUAGUCCUCACUCAGCUGGGUUGUGGUGAGGAUAUCUGUUGGGGUUACGUGUGCAACGCCCGACUCAGCAGAUUGCUGAGCAGUGGACCGAAUCAGGGGGUUAUAGGAUCAAGACCACAGGGAGACACCUGACCCCUUGCCUGUGGCAACCACGCAGGUAGAUGUUUGAGGGGGCCUGUCCGCCCGCAUCACCCAGGGGCUGCGGUUGGAGGAGAGCCAUCAUUUGUGUCAUUUUCCAAUAUGCCACAGGGAAUCAAAGGCUCUGAGGGGCCUGUUAGCACCCAUUCUCUGCGGAUCACUCAGACAAUUUCCACAGUGCUCCACGACAAUGGGCCAUAAUUAAGGUGUCAGCAUAUCAUUUAGCCCUUUCAGCGCAAAGCCCAGAGACAGGCCGGGCAGUCUUCAGCCCCUUUAAUGAGAGAUGCUUAGAAGGAGUGGGAGGGUGGGAGGUGCGCAUGCGCGAGUGGGGGGUGGUGCACGUCCCCCAGAAGCCUUCGCUGACCCGGGGGACCGACCAGAUGGGUGUCUGAGCAGUGGAGUUGGGAGGAAGAUGAGAUAGGCCUGGAGGUGAGGAGGGGCACAGAGGACCAAGGACAGGCUGGCUGGGUGCAUCAGCUGUGCCCUCAGCCCCCUGAGUCCCUGUCAAAGCCCUCUUGAGGCUGUGUGGCCAGUGGCCUGUGCAACCUCACUCUCCUUUCUAGACAGUGAGCUCCUUGAAGACAGGCACCACGGGUGCCACCUCUGUCUCUGUGCCUCCAGUUCCUUGACCAAGAGCGGCUUAAAGGUUGUAAGAAAGAAUGGAGAAAGGGAGGGAAAGACAGGAAAACAGACAAGGUAAGAGGAACCAAAGGCAAAGGUUUGAUAGUACGAGGGAUGGGGUAUGAAAAUGAUAGAAGCCUGAGAGAAAGGUGCAGAGAAGUGUGUGUGUGUGUGUGUGUGUGUGUGUGUGUGUGUACGUGUGUGCACACGCAUGUGUGUGUUGUGGGUUGAAUUAUGUCCCCCACCAAAAAAAGAUAUGUGAAGUCCUAACCCCCAACACCUGUGAAUGUGACCUUUUUGGAAAUGGAGUCUUUGCAGAUAUAAUCAAGUUAAGGUGAGACCAGGGAAUUCCCUGGUGUCCAGUGGUUAGGACUCGGCGCUUUCACUGCUGGGGCCCCGGAUUCAGUCCUUGGUCGGGGAGUUAAGAUCCUGCAGGCUGCGCAGCAUGGCCAAAAAAAAAAAAAAAAAAAAGUUAAGGUGAGCUCAUCAGGGUGGGCCGUAAACCAAUAUGACUGGUGUCCUUUUAAGAAGAGGAGAAAAGACACAGACACACAAGGGAAAUGCCUUGUGACGACAGAGGCAGAGAUUGGAGUGAUGCAGCUGCAAGUCAGGGAUUCAGGGCCACCACCAGAAGGUAGGAAGAGACGAGGGAGGAUUCCGCCCAGCGUCUUAGAGGGAGAACGGCUCUGCUGACAUCUGGCUUUUGGACAUUUGGCUUCUAGAGCUGUGAGAACACAUUUCUGUCAUUUUAAGACUUCCAGCUUGCGAUGCUUUGUUAUAGCAGCCCUAGAAAAUUAAAGUAGUGUGUAUACACAUGUGUGUGUGUGUAAGAAAGGGAGGAAAGAUGCGCGCGAGAGAGGUGAAGAUGCAAAAACACCGUGCGUUAGUGCCUGUGAAAACGAAGUCUUCAACACAGCCUGGCCUAGUGCACUUUCUGUGUUGAAAGACUCUCUUAACAACAGCACCACUAUCCCCAUAACUACGUCCACCCCCAUCAUCACCACCAUCACCAUUACGACCACCGCCGUCAUCACCAUCAACCACCAACAUGACCACUAUCACCAUCACCACUACCACCAUUAUCACAACCACCGUCAUCACCAUCAUGACCAUCAUGACCAUCAUGACCACCACUAUCAUCACCAUCAUUACCACCAACAUCUCCCGUCAUCCCCACUAUCACUAUCAUGACGACCGCUAUCACCAUCACCAUGACCACUACCAUCACCAUCACCAUCAUGACCACCACCACCAAGUGUGGGAGGAGAAGCAAAGAGGGAGAAGGCAGAGCCCUGGGGAGCACCUGCAUUCAGAGGCAGGCAGGCAGGAAGGGAGGCAGCUGCACAGGCAGACAGCCAAGCAGUCACAUCUGGGGAGGCAGGAGGAGAACGAGAAAGAAGGAAUCUCAGACUCGCAGGGAGGAGGGAGUUAGAACAGUGUCUGGUUUCCCAGAGAGGCCUGUGAAGUGGGGCUGGUGCACAUCCCAGGGUAGAGGAGAGCAUUCUCAGGGGAUGGGGGCCCAGAGCAGAUGGCAGUGGGUGGAGGAGUGAAUGGAAGGUGGGAGUGGAUGAAGACACCAGGCUGGGAGUUGGAAAGAUUCUCCUGGUGUCUGGGUGGAGAAUGGAUGGAGGGGACAAGCCUGAGAUUCCCAAGGAGACUGGGGAGGGGCUGGGCUGGUCCUCCAGGUUGGGGACAGGGGCAGCCCCACCUGGGACAGAGGCCUGUCGGAGGGGCCUCAGGAGCCUGGAAGGAAGCAGCCUUGGCUGGGCUGCCUCACUGGGCAACUCAUCCUCAUCCCCUCUGUCUUAGUGUCCUAGGGCGGCUGUAACCAAGUACCAUGAAGUGAGUGGCUUAAAACAGCAGAAGUGUAUUCUCUCGGAGGUUUGGAGACCAGAAGUCUGAAAUCAAGGUGUCAACGGUGUUGGUUGCUUCUUGGAGCUCUGCGGUCAAAACCAUUCCACGCCUUUGUCCUAAUUUCUGGUGGUUGCUGGUAACCCUUGGUGUCCCUUGGAGUCUAGCCGCAUCACUCCAGUCUCUACCUCUGUCAUGACGGCGUUCUCCUCUCUGUGUCUGUGUGCCGACUUAGAGCACCAAUUAUUGGAUUUAGGGCCCACCCCAAUUCAGUGUGAGCGCAUCUUAACUUGAUGACACUUGCAAAGGCCCUAUUUCCAAAUAUAGUCACAUUCACAGGUACUAGGGGUUUUGUAUUUUGAGGGUGGGGACACCAUUCUACCCACUACAGCCACUGGCACGCCGGCAGCUCUUUUUCUUUUCUUUCGGCCGUGCCACGCGGCGUGUAGGAUCCUAGUUCCUCGACCAGGGAUCGAACCUGCAUCCCCUGCGGUGGAAGCGUGGAGUCUUAACCACUGGACCGCCAGGGAAGUCCCCCUUUUUUUUAGCAGCUCAUUACUAGAGACAUUUAAUAAGCAACUCAUGGGCACUGGGGCCAGCCCAGGCAUGGGGCUCCUAGUCUCACAAAGCUUACAGUCUAUGACCAAAACAUGUGGCAGAAGCUUUGGGGGACAGGGCUGGGGCUCAGCAGGGGGUGUGAGUGCCCAGGGUCCACGUGUUGGAAUGCUGCCCUCAGAGUUGGACUAGGAAAGCAGGCAGGCUGGGGGGAAGGGGCUGCAGCCUCGGCCCCCAGCCCUUCCCUACCUUCCCUGGCAUUUGGAUAAACCCACAGAGGAGCUUGUGACAUCUGGAGCCCAUGUAAACGGAGCAUAAAUUAGCUCUAACAAUCACAUCUGCAGCCGCCAUGCUGCAGUCUGUUUCCUGCCGAACGCUGGGUGGGCUUGGCGUGGGCAGGAGGGCAGAAGCUGGUCCCAUAUGUGCCUGAAACCCUCACUGAUAGCAUCGCCGUGUUUAGAAGCUUCUGCUGAAAUGUGUUCGUGUUUGGGACACAUGGGACCCAGGAUUCUCUUCAUAGAUGGUGGAAUUGGGGUGUUAAGAGAUGUGGACAUAGACAGGAGAAAAUUUGAAGGGUGGAGAAGGAGGGAUGGGGCACCUCCGGGGGUGAAGGAAGGUAAGGGCAAGACCAAGUGGCGAAGAGGCCAUGGGCGGGUGCACAAGCAAGGGCCGGUGUGGCCUCACACCCUUCUCCAUGCUCCCUCCCUCCCACCCCACACUGGGGGUCCCAGAGCCAGCCAGUGGUGGGGGUGGGGAGCAAGGGGCCACCGUGGACCAGACCUUUACAUAAAUUAAGUCAUUGUCCUUCAUCUAACCUUGACCAUGUCCUUGUGAGGGUGGUUUGUAUCAUGCGCAUUUUACAGAUGAACAAACUGAGGGGCUGAGAUCGUACCAUUAAGAGGCAUCUAUACCAGGACCCGAACCAGGUGCUUCGACUCUUCCUCGUCUUCACUGUGUCACCCUGCACCUGAUCAAGAAAGGGUGUUGCACUUGUGUGUGCAUGAGUGUGAAUACGUGAAUACGUGUGUGCAGAGUGUCAGCGUGUGCGUGUGUGUGUGAAAGUGAGGGGAGGCAGCCACAACCCAAGAUCAAAGUGUAGGAACCAGAACCUCCUUUCCCCCUCCUGCCCCAAUCAGCAGGGCCACCAUGGGUAGUCAUCCUCCAGGCUUAAGCACCUACUGUAUACAGGGACCAGCGCUUUGACACGCACAGCCGCUUACCCACCUACUCAUUCAUUCAAUUUCACAAGCCAUUUCAUGAGCACCUACUACAAUCCAGUCUCUGCACCAGGCACUGGGGACACGAGAUGAGUGGGGCAGUCCCUGACCCUAAGGUGCUCGCUCUCCAGUGCAGGGGGGGGCAGCCGUGGAACAGCUGAACUUGGUAGCAAACUAAGAGAUUACUUGGACGCCAACUUGGUUGGCGUCCUAAGAGAUUAAAGAGAUAGGUUUCCAGAGGGUGGCGUUUGGAAAUUUGCUUCCCGAGCACAGGGACCAUGUCUGUCUGGUUCAUGCUGAAUCCCAGCUCCCAGCGCAGUGCCAGGCACACCACAAUUGCUUGCGCCUGUACGUGUUUGUUGAAUGACUAUUGAUUGAAAGAUGGGCAGGUUCUCAGCACGCAGAGUUGGGGUAGCUGGUCAUCCUGGCUGAGGACCCUGCGGUGCAGAGGUGGGGAAGCACUGAGAUGUCUGGAGGAACAGCUUUUUGGGGAGGCUCGACUAGGAAAAGCAUGUCCCCGAGAAUGAAAUAGACCUGAGGGAAUCCUGGCCCCAGCGCUUAUGCACUGGCUGGGUGAGUCUAGGCAGGUUUCUUAACCUCUCGGAUCCUCUGCAUUAUCAUCUCCAAAGCAGAGCCUCCGAUAUUUGCACGGUUAUUAUUAUUUGGGGGGAAAUGUUGUCCUUUUUAUUGUGGAAGCCUUUAAACACAUAAUGAAGGGGAAAGAAUAGAAUAAUGAAUUCCCACGACCCCAUCCUCCAACCUCAACACUUACCAACAUUUUGCCAUCCUGGUUUGAAGAUACUUAGAUGGUGAUUAAACCCAGUAGAUGAGUGACAACAAUAGCAGUGGCUCUGGCGGGGUUAGGACACGCGGGCAAUGAUAAUUCCACCGUCACUGCUGCCUGGCAGCAGGGGGUAGGGGGUUGAAGGGAGUGGGACUGGAGGCCACAGCUACUGUAAGGUGCACCCGGAUUUCAGAGACGUUCAAAGGUGAAGAAACGCGCAUCCUAGUAUUGAUGAAAAGCAGCAGUGAGACCAGGCUGCAUUUUACUUGUGAGACAUAGAGUUCGUACCUAAGGUGGGGAAGAGGUCAAGAUUUUCCUCACUUGAUGUUUUGUGAGUUUCCCUGUUAGUUAGUUUGUUUGUUUCAGAGAAGAGCCCCUUGCAAGGUUAUUAGGAUUAGAAGUGAUCAUGGGGUGUAGGGAGGUGGCUGCUUGCGGUGUGGUUGGGUGUGGAGGAUAGGACCAGGAGAGGCGACCCUUGGGCUGAAACCUAAUUAACACGGAAGAACAUUCCAGGCAGAGGGACAGGCUAGAGCUGACCUUUAGGUUUAGAAAUCUGCAUGAAGUUAAGUGAGCUGUUGCCUGCACAGUGAUGGGGGGCGGGGAGCAGGAAACGAGGCUGGGGCAGCAGUAAGAUCACUCUCGGCCUUGGGGGCCAACCUGUGACAUUUUCUAUCUUUAUUUGCUCCAUGUCUGCCUGUCCCCUCUGGAGUGUCAGCAAAUUGGGGGCAGGGACUUUCUCACUGUAUUAAGGUUCUCCAGAGAAACAGAAUCAAUAGGAGAUGUGUGUGCGUGUGUGUGUGUGUGUGUGUGUGUGUGUGUGUGUGUGUGUGGGCUCAUGCAGUUAUGGAGGCUGACAAGUCCUAAGACCUACAGUCAGCAAACUGGAGACCCGGGAGAGCUGAUGGGGUAAGUUCCAGUCCGAGUCUGAGUUGGAAGGUAGGAGAAGAUGGAUGUCCCAGCUCAAAGACAGUCGGGCAGAGAGAGAGACAAAUCUUUUUCACUCAGUUUUUUGUUCUCUUCGGGCCCGCAGUGGAUUGGUUGGGGUCCACCCACAUUGGGGAGGGCAGUUUGCUGUCCUCAGAUCACAAUUCAAAUGUUAAGCUCAUCCGCAAACACCUUCACAGAUACACCCAGAAUAAUAUUUGACCAAACGUCUGGGUACCCUUGGUCCCAGGCAAGUGGACACAUAAAAAUAACCCUCAUACUCCCAGUACCCAAGACAGCCUGACACAGAGUAGGAGCUCAGUCCACAUUUAUUGAAUGAAUGAAUGAAUGAAUGAUGGGGCUGGAGAGACUUGACUUUGACAUGGGAUCCCCCCUGUAUGGCUGAAGCCACUCUUGCUUCAAAUCCACACAAACCCCACCUCCUUCUCUGGGGCAUCUUCUCUGCAUCUCCCCCUCCUGCGUGUACCUGACCUCUCUGACCUUGGGCCUCCCAGAGCCCUGGGUCACGUUGUCUCUGUUGGGACCCUCCAGGUUGUCCCCAGGGAUGGCAUCCCAGGGGAGGACCCCUCCCCCCAUGGUAGAUGUCCCCGGGGGCAGCAUCUGGAUUCCAUUCACCUCCACAUCCUGAACGUGCAAAUGACAGAUGCCCCCUCCCUGCCCCACUCAACAUAAAGGAUUCAUGAAGUAGAUGCUUUUUUUUUUGCAGUACGCGGGCCUCUCACUGCUGUGGCCUCUCCCGUUGCGGAGCACAGGCUCCAGACGCUCAGGCUCAGCGGCUACGGCUCACGGGCCCAGCCGCUCCGCGGCAUGUGGGAUCUUCCCGGACCGGGGCACGAACCUGCGUCCCCUGCAUCGGCAGGCGGACUCUCAACCACUGCGCCACCAGGGAAGCCCCUGAGUAGAUGCUUUGAAGGAUCUUCUAACCCUCAAAAGGGCUCCCCAUUCCUCAUAGGGUGCCUGGGAUCCCCUGGAGCAUCAGUCUGAACACACGUGUGGUGUCCUCAGAAGACCCCCAGGGAAGAUGUAGAGGGUCCACGUUGCCAGCCCCUGGGAAUCGUGAGUAUGUGGACGGAGCACAGGCAGGGUGUGUCCCCUUGAGCCCUGGGAGGUAGCCACGGUGGGUAUCGCCUCUGUGCCCACGUUACAGAUUGGGAAACUGAGGCUUAUUUGUCGAGGGGAGUCGCAGCACUGAGAGCCUGAGUGACCUGCCUAAGAUUUCCCUGCUGCUUCUCAGAGGAGCCCAGACUCAAAUCCAGGGGUUUCUGACUUUAAACUCCAUUCGCUUCAUCCCAGACCAUUUCAUAGACCACGUCUGGGCCCUGGCCCAUCUGUAUUAGAUGCACUGAGGGAACUGGUUUGCAAAGGCAGGAUCCCAGGCCUCACUCUGGAGAUUCUGUUUUAAUGGAUCUGAGUUGAGACCCAGGACUCUGCCUUUUUAGUCAGCUCCCAAGCCAAUUCUGAUGCUUUCUGAAGUGUGAGACCCACGGGCUACACUCUGCUGCUUGUAAGGGGGUAAGACGUGCAUCUCAGGACCUACAAUUUUUUUUUUUUUUUUGCUGUACGCGGGCCUCUCACUGUUGUGUCCUCUCCCAUUGCGGAGCACAGGCUCCGGACGCACAGGCUCAGUGGCCAUAGCUCACGGGCCCAGCCGCUCCGCGGCAUGUGGGAUCUUCCUGGACCGGGGCAAGAACCCGUGUCCCCUGCAUUGGCAGGCGGACUCUCAACAACUGCACCACCAGGGAAGCCCCAGGACCCAGAAUUUUGAAAGCAAGAGUGACCUGGUCUCUGCCUCCCUGAAGGGGGCUGGUCCCCCGGAGCCCUGCUUGAUGGGGGCUUCUGCCUCUGCCCCCCUACCUCCACAGGGGCUGCUGCCAGCAAGUGCAGCUCUGCUGGUAAAGUCUUUAUCGGGAAUGUCGCCUAAUGCAUUCAUAUCAAACAAUAGCGCCUCAUACAUCAUCCCUGCCAGAGGCCACCUCCGCUAGGACAAGCACAGUCCAUUACCCUGACGGGCGCAGGCCGUGCGCAAAACAGAUAACGGGUCCCAGCUGUGGGGGGUAGCCAUGGGAGGGGAGUUGAUGGCCCCAGCCAUCAUCAAGGGGACCCUGGGCACCUGCCAUUCUGUGCAGUUGGGACAGAGGUCCCAGUCUUACAGCGCAGUUGAUAGAGUAUUGGUUGAGAACCUGGCUCUGCAUCUUCAGGGAAGUAACUCAACUUCUCUGAGCGUCGUUUUCCCAUCUGUAAGAGGGGCUAAGCGUAGUAUUUGCUUCACAUAGAACUGUAGGUGGGGCUUAAGAAGAGGAGGCCGGUAAAGUGCUGGGCACAAUGCCUGGGGAAGAGAAAGCAACCUAUAAACAGUAGGUGUAACUAUUGCUUUAUCAGCAGGACCCCAUUCACGCUGGCCUGCCCCUUUCCAGGGAUGGUUGUCAACAGUCCUCACGACCCCCAAGCUCCCGUGGAUGCAAAGGGACCCGUCACCCUUCCCAACUGCUGGCUCCCCAGACCCUGAGACAGGGAUUUGCAAGCCUGCAAGUCGUUUAUUUUGGAAAUGAAGCUCACACCACGAGGAGAGUGGGGAAGUGAGGCAGGGCAGGAGGCCGCCAAUAAAAGGCGUGUUAUAAAGCCCAGCUGUCACUGUGGCGAGUGGGGCGUAAACUUGCGAGGGAGCUCUGGGAUGCAGCUGGGAACACGCCAGCUCAAGAAGCUGGCAGCUGGGGUAUUUACAGAUCAACUCCCAUCACCACUGGGGUUGCUCCAGAGGACAUGAAUCCCCCGGUUUGGCCUACAGGUGACAAAGCAGGCUUCACACACUGGUAGCUAGAGGCUGGAUUAAGGUGCACCCAGGUGGUAAGGGUGAGGGGAUAUGGUGGGGCACUGCUAUGGGCUGAAUUGUGUCCCCCUAAAAAUUUGUACGUUCAAGUGCUAACCCCCAGUACCUCAGAAUGUGAGUACAUUUGGAGAUAGACCCUUUACAUAGGGAGCUAAGGUAAAAUGAGGUCAUAUGGGUCACAGCCACUCCAAUAUGACUGGUGUCCUUAUAAGAAGCUAUCAGGACACAGAUACACACAAGGGGGAAGCCCAUGAGAAGACACAGGGAGGAGACGAUGGCUGUCUCCAAACCAAGGAGAGAGGCUCUGAAAAAUCAAACCUGCCACACCUUGGUCUUGGACUUCCAGUCUCCAGAGUCCUGAGAGUAAAUUUCUGUUGUCUGGCGCUAGUCCUCUGGUUAACAUCACACGUGACUUUGAACUGUAUGCAAUUGAAUGCUUUGGCCCCUACUUUUAAAUAUUAUGGCAGGGGGUUAACAGCUUAGGAAGCAUUUAAACGGUACUGUGUAAGUGUUAGCUAUUAUUAUUAAUCCCAUUUUAUAGAUGACAAACCUGGUGCCAAAGCUGGCAGCUGGCAGAAGGCCAAGGGCAGGAGAGGGCAUUUUGGUGCCCCCUGACAUGUGAGGACAGAGUGGCUUCACAUACCUCCAUCCUCCCCAAGGGGCAAGGGUCCCAAGGGGCAGCAACUUCAUUACAUGCCCCAGUCUCUCCACAUCAUAUGAGUCAAGUGAAGGGAUCAUAAACCAGGGUUUUAUUAGCUGCCCUAUUGGUGGGUGAGCUGGGCUGGGCUGGGUCUCCUCCCUGAGCCCCUGAAUAAUCCAGGAGGGCAUACCUAGGGCAGACAGGAAUGGAGGCUGGGUUUGGGGUUGCAUAGCAGCCCAGAGAGUAGGGGAGUGGGCCAGGGUCUUAACAGCGUGUGAUUAAAGACCAUAGUAAUUGUGUCUGACAGGGGACUCAUCCCCAGGGCUGGAGAGGAGGGGGAUACCAAAGCCCAGAUGUAGCCUGGGGUUGGGGGCUGAUGGGGAUAGGGGAGAACCCCACUCGGAGCUCCUGAGCAGUGAGUCCUGUGCCAUACAUCACCCGACACGCCUUUCCGUGGGACCGGCCUGGCUGACAGCAGCCAUUUAUCUGAAUGUCAUUGGCAGUAAACUGGCGAGGGGGAGGGCAGCGAGGAAGGAGGCAGCCAGGGGGCGGGGUCUCCUUGGGAAUUUCCCAGAGGCCAGUUCGCAGCCCCAGCCUCGGAGGGGAGCUGUUAUAAGCAGGGAGGUGCUAUCCGUGGUGCUGAAUCCCACCUGCCCCUUUCUCUUUCUCCCUGGGGACAAAGAGGGCAGAGGUGGGGAAGUCCUGUGAACACAGUGCUACCCUGUAAUCAGAUGGGAGCUGGGGGCAGCCCCAGUGUUGAGACACUUACAGGGGAGGAAGGUGACAGUCAUAUACUUUCAUGGCUAUGGACAUGAAAUUUGGAGCCAUAGUCCUAGUGUGUUCGUUCAUUUAAAGGAUAUUUAUUUAUCAAGAACAGGUUCCCCAGGACAUAGUCCCUGAAGAUGUCAAUCAGUCAUACAACCUAAAAAAUGUCGACACUAACUGUGUGACCUUGGGCAAGUUACUUAACCUCUCUGUGCCUCAAUGACCUCAUCUGUAAAAUGAGGGUAAUAACCAUAGCCACUUCAGAGGGUUGUGAGAGGAUUGUGAUUAUGUAAUUAAAGUGCUUAGAACAGAGACUGGCUCAUGGAAAGUGCUCAAUAAGCCUUAGCUCGAGUUACUGUCAUUAUUUAUACUAUGAAGUGUACAGGGAGCUCUCAGAGGCAAUAACAGGGGGAGCCAGACUUUGUUCAGAGAAUCAGGGAAGACCUGAAGGAUGAUGAAAGCUUGCAUGGGGGAGGUUGGAAGGCAUUCCAGGCAAAGGGGACAGCAUGGGCAAAGGCCCUUAGGCAGGAAAGGUGCAGGACACCAUCCAAGAGCUAAAAAGAAGCCAGAGGGGCUGGACCACUGAGAGUGAUGGAAGAGCCUCAGUUUCUUAAUCUGUUAAAUGGGUAUAAUAGUAGAACCUACCUCCUGCAAAGCUGUGAGGGUUAAAUGAGAUGGUGUGUUUCAAGGUCCUAGCACAGAGCCUGAGCACUCAUGCUGAUUGGUUAGCUUCCUGGUUCCAAGCCCAGGGAAGCCACAUUCAGUUUGCCACACCCCACAUCAAAGCUGGAAAGGACUUCAGAGGCCAUUCAUUGUACAGAUAGGAGCACAGAGGACUUUAGAGAGAUCCACUGGAAAGGGAGGCUGCUGGGGCUGCUUGUUCCAGCCUCCUUAGAUGGGAGAGAGUGUGGGGCAGUGAAAACAGUAGACUCUUGGGGGGUUGAGGGGUGGGGUGAAGUCCUGACCCCAGUGCUAACCUGUUGUGGGACUUGGUGGGAUGGAUGCCUUGAGGCACUCAAUUUCUUCUUCUGUAAGAUGGGGAUAAUAACACCCAGAAGGCAUUUAUGGUUAUAAGAGUGGGUCAGACACUUGGAAACCCACAGGGACCAGGCAGACGAUGUAAAGGAGACUUCCCAAACUAGUCUUACUUCUCAAGAGAACCCUAAAUCCCGAUUUUAUGUAGGAUAUCCCUAUUGGUAAGUGUUAGAAACUAAUUUAAGCUUUUUUAAAACACAAGGUGGGUCAAAGCUACCACGUUUGUGGCUUGAAUUUGAUCUGUGGACUGCCAGGGUGUAGCCUCUGGCAGAAGGUGAUGUACUUAGCAGGUGCUCGGUAAGUGUGGUCCCUUUCUCUUGGGGAGCCUCUCCUUCAUCCACCUCUAUGCCGACACCUGCCUUCUAGGAGUUCAGACCUUCCUCUAGAACCCUCGAGUUCAGGAAGGGGCUGAGUCCUACCCAGAUCUAAGCCUCUGGCCAUUCUCACCCCUCCUCUGUCCCCAUCCCGGGAGAUCCUGUCUUACCAGGAAGGCGCUGCCUGCCUGGGGACCCAGGAUCACAGAGCACACAGGUGGCUGGUGUGGGAGGUACGUGUCACAGCCUCGUCAUCAGCAUGGCGGCCCCCUCCUCCUGUCUGUGGCAUCAAGAAACCCUGAGAACCAGUUGACACAACUCCGCAGGGAGUGUACCUGCCUCGGGGAGUGGUGGCUGUGACUCAGAGGUGCAACUGGGCUCGGAUGUUGGUGGAGGCACCAGUAAAACAGGCAGAAAAGGAGUGAUAGCAAGUCAGAGCUACAUGGGGCCUUUUAGGGCAGCCCAACAGUGUUCCGUGGAGAAACAGAGGCCUGGAGAGAGGAAGGUCACGUGUCUACUGAUUCGUAAUUGAGUGCUUUUUCCGUGACAUCUUCCUGCCAGACCAAGAUCUAGAGCAGGGAUGUCAGAGUUUGGGGAGGAACCACAUUUCUUGGUCUUCAUAUCCCCUAAGUCAUGGGAAGAAGAGGCCUACGGACUUUGUUUCCAUCCUGGUUCUGCCGCUUACUGUGUGUCCUUGGGCAACUCACAUAGCCUCUCUGGUCGUUUCAUCAUCUGUAAAGUGAGAAUAAACGCUUUGCCAAGGUUAAAAUGAGAGCUUGUGUAAAAUGCCUGGUUCAUAACGGAUGCUUAAAAGUCUUUUUCUAAAGGCACUUAUAUCUGGCCUCAUUUCAAAAAAGGCUUAGAAGUGGCUUACAAAUACACACUGCAAUGCCAAUGCAGGAAAGACCUAGAUGAGAGGACGGGAUGACAAGAUGGUGGGGUAAAGUCUUGUAUGGUGGUGAGCAGGGGGCCACACAUCUGGAUCAGAGUUUCCUGGCAGCCACAGCAAAGGGAGAAAUACAACCAUUAUGUGACUCUUGGUAUCCAUAAGCUGAGAAACUACUGCUUGCUUAGGUAAAAAAAUUAACUUUUCUUGGUAAUGGGAUAUGAGUCAUUUCUCAUGUGAGUCUUCAAAAACAGGGCCUGUGGCAAGAGUAAUUCUCUUUCCUUUCCACUCCCUCGCUUCCUUCUCUAGCUAUUCCUUGGGGUCACCCAAACCCUACAACCAUAGCUGAUGGCAUAAUGGUUAAGCGGCCCAGCCCUGAAGACAAAACCAGUCUCCACCUCUGCGCAGCCUUGGGCUCGAGACCACCCCUCUCUGAGCCUCAGUUUCCUCAUCUGUAAAAUGGAUGGUUAUAGAAAUAACUACCUCUAGGUUCUCGAAAAUUAGAGGUGGUGAAACAGCGUGUAAAACACUGACCAGCUUAAACUGAUUUUGCUUCCUUAAAAUGGGUUGUUGAUUAAUCUAACCUGGAGUUAUUUUUACAGACAGCAUUGCGCAUGUGCAAAAUGGGAACGCAUGUCUCCAGGAUGACCCCGGAACCAGGAAUCUUCAGCUGACGGAACUUAAAGAAUAGAAACGUUGCCAGCGGAGCCCUUUACGAAACGAGAAGUCCUUCAAUCAGGAGACUCUGGCUUCCAGCAGUAGCUUAUUUGGACUGAUUCGAGACUAGCCAAUCAGCUUCCAAGUCUGAAGUUCCCUUAACCCGUUAACUUUCACCCAGAAGCCUGGAUUGAGGAGAGAGAUUUGAGCCCUGCUUCCUGUUUCCUUGCAGGUCGACCUCGCAGUGAAGCUCUUUCUUUCCUCAAAAGCUGGUGCCACAGUAUCAGCUCCUACGUGCAUCAGGCAGCCAGCACUUGCUGGGUAACAGAGGUAUCUUCUAUAAAGACCUUCAAGUGACAUCUUGCAUACAGUAAGUGUUCCAUAAAUGGUGGCUGCUCUUAUAGCAGGAACUCAAUAAAUGGUCACCGAAUGAGUAUCAUAGGGCAGCAAAAGCAUUUUCUCUUCCAAACCGUCUCUUCAGUGCUUCUCAGCAGCAGGCGUUCUCCCCAAACCAAAUUGAAACUGCAUGUGUGGUUUAAUCAAUUCCAUGGUUUGUAGGAGCCAAAGAGCCCAGGUUAAUGGAACACAGCCAAAUCCCCCGUGAAUUUCUAACCCUCCUUGAAAGGCCUCUGCUUUUUCCUGCUCAGCCACUGGGAAGCUGUUGCCUCCACUCGGGGAGGAGAAAUUGAAUAAUUGAUGCAAUUUGAAUAACACUAGGAUUUAUAAUGAUAUUGAAAUGUAAAGAUAAAAGGGGGCGUGAACGGGAGGGGGGCUCAUAGCGGAAGAGGCAAGUUGUUAAUAGGCACUUAGGGGCUCUGUGGGGUGGGGGGAGCUCCCCUUGGAAACAUGUGCUGAAAAGUCAUUUGAGAGAGGAGGCGCUGGGAGGGGGGUGGGCUGGGAAAUCUCCACCCGGAGAGGGAGAAAAGCCAUAUUCAUAAAUAAGAUUCGGAAAUUUCUCCCGACUCAGCACCACUAACAGGGAGUGGAUAAUUAUUUAAAUGCCAAAUCAUUCCGCUCAUUAGAAUCCCAAAUCAUAUCUGAAGAAACUGAUUGCCCAGGGCAGGAAUGAAAGGGGGCGGAGGAGGAAAUGGGGUGGCUAGGAAAGCAGGAAAUGGGAGGGUCUCCCCGACUUCUGGUCCAGGCCAAGGGGAAGAUGGAGUGGAAAGGACGGCAGGAUGGUAGGGAGGGUAGGAACAUGGGGUGGAAGGAAGUCAGAUAGUCGUGGGUUCAAGGCCAGGAUCUGAUACUUCCUUAUUGUGGGUCUCCUUUGUUACCUUACCUCUCUGAGCCUCAGUUUGCCCAGCUGGAAAAUGGGGUUGAUGCUAAGAUCUACUUUGCAAGCAGCGAAUGUUAGCUGCUGUGAUUAGGGAGGCAGGACAGAGAGGGGCUCAGGACGGGGCACGGGCUAGGGCUGGGGGAGGAGCCUCGCAUAAGCCCCAAGCCAGGCUCCUUUCCCUCCCAAACCUACCCUGUCUCUGACCCCAGUCACAGACAGGAGCUGACUUGAGAGGUGGAGACUGAGUCUCAGAGAGGGUAAGGGAUAAGGGACUUGGCCAAGAUGACACAGAGCCAGGGACCCCAAGUACACACACAUCCUAUCACCCCCACGAGUCCACAACUCCCAGCCUCAUCUGGCCGCCCUCCCAGGUGCCGGGAGGUCUCCAAGAUGGGAGUCGGCUCAGCCCCCGGGUGCGUUAUCCUGUCUGUGGACCGGAGUCACAAGGGCAAGUCGGUAACCAUCCAAUUAUGCCGAGAGAUUCCGGGCUGGCUGGUGCCCCCUCCCAUGGUGGAUGACCAUGCCACCCCUCAGAGACGAGCAAGCAAGCGGGGGCCCUGGAGCAGGGGGGCCACAAGGAGCGCUGGCUGGGCUCAGCAGGGACAGGGAAACCCCAAAAUAGGGAAGCAGCGUGCACUCACGUGCUCUCAAUAUAACACUAUGAGUAGUAGUAAUAAGGCAGCCGCACACCUGUUGUGCAAUAGCAUGUCGGCUUUUAUUCUGUGUCAGACCCUGUGCUCAGCAUUUUAUAUCAUUUAACUCUCAUUAGAACCCUGUGAGCAGAGGCGAUGGGGAAGCCGAAGCCUGGAGAGGUGAGGCGACUUGUUCAUGCAGCUCAAAAGCUGUGAGCCUAAGGUUUGAACCUGUUGGCCUGAAACCCAAGCCUCUUGGUAGCUCUGGGCUGCCCCCCAGACUCAGUCCACAGCCAGCGCCUGGCUUUCUCCUCACCAUGGCUCUGGGAGAUCCCUUAGGUGCUGUUUGCAGGCGAGACCCUCCAUAGCCCCACAGAGAGAUCGAGAAGGAGCUGGGAUUCAGACAUGGGUUGUUCCAAUCUCAAUCUCACACAGCCCUCUGUCUGCCCCCUCUGGAGCCUCCGGCCCACCUUGCUGACCUCUCUCCACUCUCCCCCACCCCUGUGGCCUCCUGGUCAACGCAGAGAGCAGCCCAGCUGCCACUCCCCCCAUCCCCUUCAAAUAAGACUUGUAGUAGCCACUUGCCUGUCCCCAGAAGCCUGGGGAACCAGGUGGGGCCCCCCACCCGCUUGCUUAAGGUCACCCUGGCGUUCACAUUCAGUAGAGGUUGGGGGCCAGGCCUUCCAAGGUUUCCCAAGUAGUAACUGAAACAUUAGCUCAAUUAAUAUUUCAGUGGCCCAGUCCUGGCUGGUGAUUGCUGCAGCUGGGAAGCUGGGUCCUUUCUCUUCCCAAGAGGCCAAGCGGAGACAGCUGGGAAGCCUUGGGGCCAGGGGCAGUCAGAGGAUCUGGGUUGGAGCCUGUCUGCUUGGCUGUGUGGCCUUGAUCAAAACCCUUCCCCUCUCUGGGCCGUGUCUGUCAAAUGGUGACAUCACUCUUUCCUGCUUAUAGUGUUAUUGGGAUUAGCCUGGGGCCUGGCAUAUGGUCGGUACUCAGUAAACGAUAGUAUUCGCAAUAGCUGUGUUUUCCAAGGUGAGCUGCCCAUUCUACCUGCUCCAAAAUUCCAUGGGGUGCUUGUUACAAAUACCGUCUCCUGGGCCCCACCUGGACCGGCAGAGCCUGGAUGCUGGGGCCCUGGAGUCUGCACUUGUGCCAAGCGCGCCCAGUGACUCCCCAGCACCCCUGCUUCCUAGUGAGGGAGUAGGAGCCUAGGCUCUGAGACAAGCACUUGCACAUCGGUUUCCUUGUAUGUAAAUGGCAACAGAGACAUUGACCUCUCAGGGCUUCUGGGAGGAAAGAAUGAGAUUAGGGGCUGGCACAUAAUAGGUACUCAAUAAAUGAUUUCCCCCCUCCCACCACCCACUCCCCUUCAGUGGAAGACCAAGCAUCAGCCCCCUAAAGAGGGGACAAGGGGGGUGUCCUGCCCCUCAGGAGCCUUGUCAGCAGGGCCCGCUCCAAAUCGAUCUUUUCCCCCCGUUUUCACUCACAGCGUCAGCAUCUCUUGGGGCGGGAGAAAAUGCCAGCAUCAGCACACUGCGUGCCCCAGCCAGACACGGCUGCUCUUUAUUAAUUAACCACCAGAUGUUAGUUUUGCAUCUUUUAUCAGAGGGAGGUUUAUCACCAGGACCCUGUAUGUCAGGCCAUUAGGGAGACGCAGGAAAACAUCCCUUGGGGGGCCCUGGAGUUGGCAGGGAGCGGGGAGGGGGACAAGAAGCAUGGUCGCCAGCCCAGAGCACCCCUCCGCCCUGGCCACCCCCCGCCCAGUGCCUCCAUGGUCACGUCCACAGUGGCCAUUUGGCCCAUUUGAAGUGGCUACUUGUACAUCAGCUCACAGGGCCACCAUGAUGAGCAAACCAGGCCCAGUCCCUGUUCUCCAAAGCUCACAGUCAGUUGGUGAGAUAGCCACAUUCCAGUAAACCCAAAUAGAUAAAACUAUGACAAAUUGUAAGCGGUGUCAUGAAGGAAACUGACAAGGUUUUCAGAGCAGGCGAAUAGCUGGCAGGGGACCUAAUUUAAUGGAGCAGUUUCCCUGGGGAGGUGACAUUUAAGUGGCCUCAUGGAAAAGGAGCCGGGGCAGAAGAUUCCAGGCAAAGGGCACAACAAGGGCAAAGGCCCUGGGGCAGGAACCGGCUCAGCGUGUUUAAGGAUCUGAAAAAAGAUCCGAGAGGCUGGAGCGUGAUGAAGGAGGAGGCCACCAGGAUGCUGAGGUCAGCUGGGCCGGGACCAGGGGUCCUCGUGGGGCAUACGGAGGAGCAUGGAUUUCUCGUGUUGAGGGCACCAAGGGGCCACAGCAGGCUGUUGAGCAGGGGAGCGAUGUGAUGAUGGGAUUUUGACAUGAGAAAGAACCCUCUCUCUGCCCUGGAGGGUGAGGGACGGGUUAGAGGGGAGGGAGGGAAGCCCGCCAGGUGGUCAGUCUGGGAGAGAUGGUGAGCCCUUAGCAUUGACUGGGCACUAACAGGUUGUCGGGCAGUGUUCACAUGCAAGAAAUAUUAUGAAGCAGAAACGGGGGGCGAGGGUGAAAGAAGGGUGUAAGGUGACUCCGGGUGCCUUGCUCCAGACACACCCGAGUCCUCUCACGCCCCCAGCACCCACGAGACUGGAAUUAGGAUCAUCUUCAUUUCACAGAUGAAGAAAUGGGGGCCCAGUGAAGUGUAGCAGCUUGCUCAAGGUCACACAGCGAGGAGCAGCAGAUCCCACACUUGAACUUGGUCUGCCUGCUGCGCUGUCUUUCCUGCAAACAGCUGCCCAAGCUCACGCAGGCUGCAGAGAGAUGCUGAGAGCUCCGAGCUGGGGCCUUCAGAGGAGACAGAACAGAGACUGGCUGGGACACGAGGAGGGGAGGCCCCUUCACGUCCCGUAAGUGGUCAAGGCUGGCUCCGUGGAGGUUCCCAAAGCCGAGGUCGGUGGGGAAGGCAAACUUGGCAGGGGGAGCGUGGCCAUGCAGCUGAGGGCUGUGGAGCAGGUGGUUACAGCAUGGAAGCCAAGUCUGUGCUUAAUGGGCAAAGAGAAAAGCACAGGAAUGCUCAUGGCAACCUUAAAAAUAGCGUAAAACUGGAAACAGUCUAAAUGUCCUUCAACAAGGGACUAGAUACCUGUAUAUUAUAAUACAGCCAUUUGAGUGGAAUACUAGGCAGCUAAGAAAAAGAAUGAGAUCAUCCUGUGGACCAGUAGAGAAGAAAGUAUAUGAGAUAUUACUGAGUGGAAAAAGCAAGUUACAGGACAGUUUACAGUGUGCUCUCAUUUACAUAAAAGUAGGCAUAUAUGUGCUUCAUGUGCAUGGAAAGUAUGUAGAAAGAGUCACACAAAUAUCUACUCACAGCAAUUCUCUCUGGGAAGUGAGACCAAAGAACCGGGGAUGGGGUCAGUUUUUGAUUUUCAUUUCAUCCACUUUCGUGCCAGUUUAAUUUACUUUUUACUAUGUGCAGUAGGACUUGUAUUUUAAAAUGUUCAGCUCCAGGGGGGUAAUUUAAUUGUCUCCUUUAUAACCUUCUCCAUGGUUUGAGUUUUUUUUACAAUAACCAACUAAGAUGUCUGUAAGUAUAAAAAUGUAAUACAAAAUUUCUGAACAAGAAAACACUGGUUUUGGAGUCAAGCCGAUCUGGUUCUUGUUCUCAAUCUUCCUUCUACCAGCUGAGUGACAUUAGGGAAUGACUUAAUCUCUUUGAGCAUCAAUUUCCUCCAGCAAUAGUGGAUAUUAAUAGUAUAUACAGAUAAUCUGCAAAAAAAACCCACAACUGAAUCCCUAUGCUGUGUACCUGAAACUAAUACAAUAUUGUAAAUCAGCUAUACUUCAAUUAAAAACUAGUAUAUACAGAGCAAGCAUACAGUAAAUAGUAGCUUUAGCCUUAUAAUUAUCAUUAUCCCAUCGAGAGAAAUGGCAAACCCUUGCAUGCCCUCCCAGUUGGUGAAUUCAUACCCAUCCCUGUGACAGACCCUAGGAAGCUAUUUUAAAUGAUCCUCAAACAGUUUUUAGGUAUGUAAUUCAUUUACAAAUGGAAUCUAGGUGGAAACCCAAUACGUGUAAAACAGGAACAAGAACGUUUUAGUAGCAUUCAAACCGUGACAUUUGUACUCAGGGAUGUUUGCAGCCUCCUGGCCAUCCUGCAUCCUUUUUCCUUUUUUUUUUUUUUUUUUUUUUUUGCGGUAUGCGGGCCUCUCACUGUUGUGGCCUCUCCUGUUGUGGAGCACAGGCUCCGGACGCGCAAGCUCAGAGGCCAUGGCUCACGGGCCCAGCUGCUCUGCAGCAUGUGGGAUCUUCCUGGACCAGGGCACGAACCUGUGUCCCCUGCAUCUGCAGGCGGACUCUCAACCACUGCGCCACCAGGGAAGCCCCUUUUUCCUUUUGGUGAUAACAUCCUGACCUUCCUUCGGGGGGAUUGUCCUUCCCCCUCUCUCAGCUCCCCACCCCCACCGGAGUUGGUAUUUACUCAAUGCCAAAGACAUCCCCUGGCCACAGGGAAAGGUUCAAGGACCAGACUGUGACCAAUGUGAGCCAGUCAGGCUUAUGAUUUCCAUGCAAACUGUAGAGGGAAAGAAGGUCCUUUUUCUCCUAGAUUUGAGCCUGAGAUGGGGGUUGGGUAAGCCUAGAGCUGUCAGAGUUCACCCCUGGAGUCUAAGAAUGAAGCCAAUACCCUGAAAGGCAGAGCUGAGAGAUGACGAAUACUUGAACCCUGGUGACAUCACGAGAGCCCCUGAAUCACGCUGUGCCUGAAAGUAGCACCACCUCUGGAGAUUUUUGUUGCAAGAGCCAUUUAUGCUCUAGCCAGUUGGGUUUUCUAUCACUUGUGACCAAAGAUAGGCUAAAUAAGAUAAUAUAUGUAUUCAUAAAGCCAGUUAGAAAAAACAAGGACGUUGCUUUGACAGAUGUAAACAUUUGAAAUCAGGCGUUAGGGAUGACAGGUGCUGUCUUGUAUCAGCCCCACAUCUAAUUUAUUUCCAUAUUUGUUUCUGUUUUUUUCUUUUGGCCACACUAUACGGCAUGCAGGAUCUUAGUUCCCCAAUGAGGGAUCGAACCUAUGCCCCCUGCAGUGGAAGCAUGGAGUCUUAACCACUGGGCUGCCAGGGAAGAACCCUGUAUUUGGUUUUGAUUGCCCAGCGUCAAGAAAAUUUGGAAUCAUAGCCCUCACUUUACAGAUGGGAAGACUGAGGCCCAGCCACCAGAGGCAGAACCUUGGGGCUUGCCUACCAGUUCCCCAGGGCCUGUCACAUCGGUGGUGGACACCAAGACUGGUGCAGAAGAGAAGCCUUUGGUACCUGCCUUGAGGAGGAGCCUGGACCCUCCUUGCCACCCUACCCCACCCACCCUCCAUCACCGUGGCAACUAUGCAGGGUUUUGAUUGUCGCUGUCCCUCGCCUUGCACCUGGCCUGGGUCCACCAAGCAUUCUCCCCACCUGUUCACGCCCAGGUCCACACAGCAGGUCGCCUGGGCAACCCACCCAGACGUCACUGGCAGCUCUGGCGGCUGGCCCAGGAGCUGAAGCAGCUGGUGGCUGGAUCACGUUUCCAGGGAUCCUGAGAUCUUUCCUGGAAAGCUGCCUCCCCAACUUGCUGUGUGAUGCACACAUGGCAACUGAGGGAAAUGUCCCUCCCAGGGCUCAAUUUCUCCAGCUGUAAAAUGGGACUGCUAAAUGGGCCAACCCGCGGGCUAUCAGACAGAACAAAUGAGAACCUAUUAAGCUGCUUAGAAAGUAAAAGGCAAGGUGCGUAUAGUUUGAUGGAGUCAAAAUUUGGACCCCAAAGAAAAAAGCAGGGCAAAUAAACUUCCAAUGAAGUAUCAAACAAAACAAAAUAAAACAACAAAAACAAAAACCCCAGGUGA